UCCUUCUAUCAUAGAAUGUCGUCGUCUUUUCUUCUUCUUCUUCUCCACUCUCUCUUUCUCUCUCCUCAAACCGUCGUCGUUUCGCAACAAUUGAUUGAUGUAUUUGAAGUGGAGAUGAUGGAGAACGGAGAAGAAUGAGUUUUUUUUAAGCCCCCUUUUUUAAUGAGAAGGAAUCUUGCUAAAGUUUGACUAAUUUUGGGUGCAUGGACUAAACUUAACCCCAGUUGAAGCAUGAUGAUCUGGUGUUGGAAGUAAGAAACAUGAGAGGCAGUGAUGCAGAGAAGUAUAUCAGUACAAACCUGAACUUUCCAGCGGCAUCAGACAGGCAAAGUGUACGAGCCCAAAAUCUGCCUGACCAAGGAG